AGAGGGGUCUCAGAACAUUGGCCAGAGUAGAAAGAGAGAAGAACUGGCAGAAUAGGACAGUAUCUUCUCUAGGGAAAAAGUCACAACUGAUGAAGAAAAAUAACCCUGUGGAUCCAACAGAAGCAGGCUCAAGCUAAGGUUACUGAGAGGAGAACACAGCUAACGAAUCAUUAGCCUACAGCAUUCAUAUUCUCUUUCCUGUUGACCACCCCUCAAAAGUGCUUUCAAAUCUACUCAGGAAGCUACCAGUGAGACGCUGGGAAGAGGAGAUAGCAGACGUCUUUUCUACAUUCAGAGGUCCACAGAAAUGUCCUGGGGAGGAUUUUGACUUCUCAGCAAUAGAUGAGCACAGUUCCAGUCAACUCCACUGAGCAUCUCUCAUCUUCUGCACCACCACCAUCACCAAAGUCAGGAGUAAAAAGCACAGGAGAGAACUGAUGAAGUCGGUUGCACAGACUGCCUGAGUCCAGGGGUCCCUUACUUCAUCCCAGACUAAAGGAGGAGAACCUAGCAAAUGAAGGCAGCUCUGCUGUACAAACACCAGCACUGUAUUUUCCAGGAAGUAUGUCAAAUGUUGGGUAGCAGGCUUUAUAAGAAGACAUACAGCGGUGAACUAGGGCUGGCCAGAUCACUCAUCUAAAGCAAACAUUUCUGUGAGGCACUGCCAGGAGAACCAGGCCUCCUUCCCUCCCUGCUCUUUCCACAACUGGAAGCAACAAACAACCACAAUAAAAAGGGGAGCUUUGUGCCAGACUUUUUCCUCCCAUGUCUGCAGCCAAGUUGGCUGCAACGCUACUCGACUUAAGCGCAUUAUGAAUGGGCUGUCCUUCCAGAUGCAAGGAUCCUGGCACCAGGCUGCAAGCAUACUGCACGAAUCCAAGAGAAGAAACUGAACUGGAAUGUGUGAGCCAGGAAAAGCAGAACUGUAAUCCUCCUGAAACUAGAAGUGGUUUUUACAUGUUAUCGAACUACAAAGAACCUCAGGAGGUAGGCAGGUCCCAAACUGGGAGUCAUCAUGGGGAACUGCAUAUAUACAUUGCUCUAAUGAAACAGGACAGCAAAGUGGCUUAAAUAUCUGAGGAUUCUGGAAUUAGAAGACCUAGGUUUGAGUUCUCACUCAAGCACUUGCUAAUCAUGUGAUCAUGGGUGUAAAUCUCUGAACUUCAGUGAAGAAGGUAGUUUGUAAAUUAUAAAGUGCUAUAUAAAAAUGGAAGCUAUUAUUAUUAGAGACUGUGAGCAGAUCCCUGCCCUGGGCUUACUGAGGGAAAAAACAUGAAGCACAACCAUAGCCUUCUAUCCUGGGGUACUAGACACGUUUCAAAAUAUCAGGAAAGCAUAAAUUGAAUGUAAAUAGCAGAUUACUGAGGGUUUUACUUAUCCUAUAUUAAUGUUAAGUCCAAUAUGUAAUAUAUACAGCAUAUUACAAGCUGGGAAUAACUAUUUUCCUCAUAAAAGACACCAACAAGAUGUUCUUCAUGGGUGGGUAUGUUAAUAGGUAUCUGUGUGGCAACAUUAAUUCAUGGGCAUAUUUCAGCUCUUGCUGGUCAAAUGAAACACUCUGGUUAGUCCCCAGUCUCAGCUAUCUUCUGGCUUAGCACCUGUCUAUAGUGGGACACUUGCUCUGCCAAGAUUAAUUCCACAUCUUCUUUGUCUGAGAGCUUCAAGUACAGUUGGUUAUUGGGACCGCUGGCUAUGAAUUGAAGGCCUUCAGAAAACAGGAGGGCAUUCCUAGCCUGUUGAGUUGCUAUAUUCUCUGUCAUUAGUCCUAAGUUCAUAGGUCACAUGGGCCUCUCACCUAGUCCCACUCAACUCCCCUGGAAAUGGGUAGUGGGUCAGAUAAAGUUCUGCCAACUUUGUUGGAAACAAUCACAACUGCUGGGGAGGAACCUCAGGAUAUAAUGGGGAAAGACCUUUAGGUGGCAGAGGCCAGUUCUGCUAAUGGUGCCAAAGGCUUCACAAAGUUGGUACACACAGUUUGAAGAUCUUAGAUGUUACACAGUCAUGAGGAAGAGGGUGCACUGUUUGACAUGAAGCUUCAGAGUUUCCCACAUCUUUGGCAUGCCUCCACUAAAAAGCCAAGAUAAUUCAGGAAUCUACAAACAGGUAACCCAGUGAGAGAUGACCUAUGGAUACCUAGAUGAUUAUGCAAACGUGGCCUAUGGACAUACAAUUAUUUAUAGAGAUGUAAUCUACAUACAUCUGAUGCAGAAUAAGGGCCAAAUGAGUGUGUUCCCACUUCAAUGUGAGUUUUCAAUAUCUUACAAGUAUAACAGAAAUCUAUGAGAACUACUUUGAAAAUACAUACGUGGGGCAGCUAGGUGGC